GAUCCUGGCUCAGAUUGAACGCUGGCGGCAUGCCUUACACAUGCAAGUCGAACGGUAACAGGCCGCAAGGUGCUGACGAGUGGCGAACGGGUGAGUAAUACAUCGGAACGUGCCCGAUCGUGGGGGAUAACGGAGCGAAAGCUUUGCUAAUACCGCAUACGAUCUACGGAUGAAAGCAGGGGGACCGCAAGGCCUUGCGCGGACGGAGCGGCCGAUGGCAGAUUAGGUAGUUGGUGGGAUAAAAGCUUACCAAGCCGACGAUCUGUAGCUGGUCUGAGAGGACGACCAGCCACACUGGGACUGAGACACGGCCCAGACUCCUACGGGAGGCAGCAGUGGGGAAUUUUGGACAAUGGGCGAAAGCCUGAUCCAGCCAUGCCGCGUGCAGGAUGAAGGCCUUCGGGUUGUAAACUGCUUUUGUACGGAACGAAAAGACUCUGGUUAAUACCUGGGGUCCAUGACGGUACCGUAAGAAUAAGCACCGGCUAACUACGUG
rnacentral:rRNA from 1 species